GAGUUUGAUCAUGGCUCAGAACGAACGCUGGCGGCAUGCCUAACACAUGCAAGUCGAACGAGACCUUCGGGUCUAGUGGCGCACGGGUGCGUAACGCGUGGGAAUCUGCCCUUGGGUACGGAACAACAGUUAGAAAUGACUGCUAAUACCGUAUAAUGACUCCGGUCCAAAGAUUUAUCGCCCAAGGAUGAGCCCGCGUCGGAUUAGCUAGUUGGUGAGGUAAAAGCUCACCAAGGCGACGAUCCGUAGCUGGUCUGAGAGGAUGAUCAGCCACACUGGGACUGAGACACGGCCCAGACUCCUACGGGAGGCAGCAGUGGGGAAUAUUGGACAAUGGGCGAAAGCCUGGUCCAGCAAUGCCGCGUGAGUGAUGAAGGCCUUAGGGUUGUAAAGCUCUUUUGGCGGGGACGAUGAUGACGGUACCCGCAGAAUAAGCCCCGGCUAACUUCGUGCCAGCAGCCGCCGUAAC
rnacentral:rRNA from 1 species